GACCAUGGAUGUCCAGGAGUUCCUCCCCGCCGCCAAUAGGUGUCCUCGUCGCCCUCUGGUGCCGGGAAGCCCCGGAUCCGGUAGCCCUCGUCCCGAUCUACCCAUUCCCGGUUGGAACUCGCCGGCAGGGCCCGUCCCCGUCGUGCCCUUGGCCGUUGACCAUCGGCCUGACUUCGUAGCUCCACCAACCGAUAGAUCUGGCCACAGGUGAGCCUCCGCGCCGCGCCAUAUAGUUGUACCAAACGAAUCUGUGUUAGGACAGAACCUCCCUCGUAGUCCAACUGGCAAGGAAGGAGAUGCUCAUCCAAGAGCUCUCGGGUUCGAAACCCCACGACUGCACAUUCU
rnacentral:lncRNA from 1 species